AGUAACACGUGGGUAACCUGCCUUAUAGUGGGGGAGUAGCCUUUCGAAGGAAGAUUAAUACCGCAUAAGAUUGUAGUAUCGCAUGAUAUAGCAAUUAAAGGAGCAAUUCGCUAUAAGAUGGACCCGCGUCGCAUUAGCUAGUUGGUGAGGUAAUGGCUCACCAAGGCGACGAUGCGUAGCCGACCUGAGAGGGUGAUCGGCCACAUUGGGACUGGGACACGGCCCAGACUCCUACGGGAGGCAGCAUG
rnacentral:rRNA from 1 species